AAAGAACUGCGGCAUAGAAAGAUUAAGUAACUUGUCUAUGGUCAUACAGCUAUUAAGCAACCAAGUUGGGAUUUGAAACGGAAAGUUGGAGUUGGAAUCCAUACUCUUAGUCACCAACCAUACCACCGAAAUGUGUAUUGUGCUUUGUGUGUAUGCAUUUUUAAUUUCUGCAGAUAGAAUUGUGUAAGUAGUACUGAACUUGGUAUCAUUUUGCUUCUUUGCCUUUAGAAGCUCCCAUGUUGCUCUGUCUGCUUAGGAGCCAUUCUUCUGAUUGCUGUACCCCAGGGUGAACAUUGAUUGAAUUUUGCCUGUCUGCUCUCCCAGGGAUGAUACUCCAAUUUCCUGCCUCCACAAAUAAUGCUGCAGUGAACACCCUCCUUCCGGACCUUCAAGAGAAUCUCCUUGGGAUAUAAACCAUGCUUUUGUUUCAUGAAUGCACCUCUAUGAAACAGAAGCUAGUAAAUUUGGAGCCCUUUUCUGGAAAAGUUACUUAUGCCCUUGCAAUCAUGUCUCAGGCACAGUUUUGUGCCUCAAGGAAAACAUGUAUUCGUAUGUAUGAAAUCAGAAUCCCUUUAUGUACUAUCCACUUUUUAAAUGUUUAUUUAAGGCACUCAUGUGCUGGGGUGUAUUGGAGGGCUGACAGGAGGAUGGCUAAGUUUUCUUUGCUCUCGAAUAGGAAAGUGAUAAAGAUCUGGACUUGGAUUUGGACAUGUGUGCAGAAAACAGAUGUGUUGCUUGCACCUCUACGAACAGGGGCAAGUUUCUUGAACCCUAUAAAGUUCAAUUUUCUCAUAUUUUAAAUAGGGGUAAUUGGUGGUGGUUGUGAGAAUUAAAUGAGAUAGUAUAUGCAGAGAGCUUACCCCAGAUCCUGACAUAAAAUAAGUGCUCACAAAGGUGGGAAAACCCCUGUCCUCGAGAAACUCCUAGCAGAGGAGGAGAGGGAUGCUCAUCCAGAUAUCACUAGGAAGUGUAUAAGGACCAUGACAGCAACAUUGGCAAAGCAGCACAGUGCACAGAGGAAAUGACAUUAAAUGAAAAUCAAUACAGUCAUGUGUUGCAUAACAAUGUAUCCAUCAACAACGGACUGUGCAUUCAAUGAUGGUCCCAUAAGAUUAUAAUGGAGCUGGUGACAUUGUAGCCAUUAUGACACAGUAGUAUGAAGCACUCACUACUCACGUGUUUGUGGUGGGACUGGUGCUAACAAGCCCAG
rnacentral:lncRNA from 1 species